CAGAUGAGAGCAGUUGGCAGUUAUUUUGCAGGAGGCUUCUCAGGGAUGAAGGCAAGCUGGCCCCUAGCUGAUCAGCUGGUUGGUGAGGACUCUUCACGAAGUAAGGGACCAUUGUGAAGAUGGAAGAAUGCCCACAAAAUCCAGCUUGAAACCUGCUGGCUCUGAGGGUCCUGCUGGCUCAGCAGUGCUGGUAACCAAGAAGUAUCGCAGGCCCAGGAUAACUCAGCACUCAUGAUCAGCUGUCAAGCUAUAACGGAGUGUUGAGGCAGUCCCUGAAACCACAGCGCCAUUUUGUAGGAACUAAGAAGCCAACCUCAAGGAAUCACUCGCCCCAAGAAGACUUUGUUCUGAUCUGAUGUGUUUCUAGCCUGGUGGAGCCUCAGCUAUCCAAAGGAAGAGCUGUUAAGAUGAUUGGAAUUUUGGUUUUUCCGAUUCACUCUUUUUUCUCUCCAGCCAUCUGCCUUAGACAGCAGGAGAAAAGGAAACUUAGCCUCAGAGGUGGGGUCCUUCGGAAGGACUGACAGUGGGCUAGCUCUCCUGCUGCUGGGAGCCUGAGUGCCUUUGGCUCCUUGUCCAGACCUCAGCUUUACCACGGAGGUUACCUGCUUACCAUCAACAUCGAAACUUGCCUCUUCCCCUGGGUGUAUUCUCCCUCUUUUGUGUACAGUUUGAUUCCUCCAAACUGCUCUCCCUGUGAAGAAAGCCGAUGGAAUUCAGGGAGCCUGGCCAGCCACCCAGGCCUUUAUAAAGGUCCUCGUACCACAGGAUGUAUGGGAGACCCAAUAAAGACUUUUGCAAAAUGC
rnacentral:lncRNA from 1 species